CUUAUUCUGACAGUGAAUAGGCUGCCUGUCCAGAUAUUCGCAGGGCUGUGACUGGGUUUUGUGUUCUUUAGGGUGGCUGCUUGAUUAGUUGGAAGUCUAAGAAACAACAUGUAGUCUCUUUAUCUUCUGCUGAAGCUGAGUAUAGGGCUCUUAGUAAGGUAGUUGCUGAACUGUCUUGGCUUUCCCGUUUGCUCACUGAUCUUGGUGUUUCUUUUCUCUCCCUUUUUCUAUUUUCUGUGACAAUCAGGCUGCUAUCCAUAUUGCCAAAAAACCUGUCUUUCAUGAGCGGAUCAAGCAUAUCGAAGUGGAUUGUCAUUUUGUGCGUGAUUUGUUGGCUGUUGGGCUUAUUACUCUGUCGCAUGUCUCCAGUUCUCGUCAGCUGGCUGACCUUCUCACCAAACCACUCCCUGGCACCAUUCUGCAUCCGUUGCUGAUCAGUUGAAGGUGGUUUCCCCCUCCAACUUGAGGGGGGUGUUGAGCUACAAGAAUAUUUUGACCUUGGUGUUUCUGUUUCUCUCCCCUUUUCUGUUUUCUGUGACAAUCAGGCUGCUAUACAUAUUGUCAAAAAUCCUGUCUUUCAUGAGCGGACCAAACAUAUCGAAGUGGAUUGUCAUUUUGUGCGUGAUUUGUUGGCUGCUGGGCUUAUUACUCUGUCGCAUGUCUCCACUUCUCGUCAGCUGGCUGACCUUCUCACCAAACCACUCCCUG
rnacentral:lncRNA from 1 species